UUCCGGAGGGGAGAGGUCAUGUCGUUUAUGUAAAGUUAAGAACUCAUAAGCGUAUGGCUUUUCCCCUUUGGAA
rnacentral:pre_miRNA from 1 species